rnacentral:lncRNA from 1 species
CUUGUACAUUAGAUUUUAGAAGUUGUAUUACUGCGCUAGUUGUUAUUGGGACUACUUUCGGUUUUCCUCUUCUAUUUUGGAGUGCACUAUUGAUGUUGAGGUAUUCUUCUAUCUAUAUGGUUGAAACGUCGGUCCUAUUAUAGCAUUAUGAUUUUUAAUCUAUCUGAUGGUGGUCCUAUUAUAGCACUAUGAUUUUUAAUCUAUCUGAUGGUUGUGGCUCCGGCAUAGUUCAAAGAUUCGAUGUUAAUAAUUGAAAUAGCAUUGUUAUAUA